rnacentral:rRNA from 1 species
UACGGAGGGGGCUAGCGUUGUUCGGAAUCAUUGGGCGUAAAGGGCGCGUAGGCGGCCGAUCAAGUCGGAGGUGAAAUCCCUCGGCUCAACUGAGGAAUUGCCUUCGAUACUGUUCGGCUUGAGUCCUGGAGAGGGUAGCGGAAUUCCCGGUGUAGCGGUGAAAUGCGUAGAUAUUACAUGGAAUACCAAUUGCGAAGGCAGGUUACUACUAGUGGAUUGACGCUGAUGGACGAAAGCGUGGGGAGCGAACAGG